CCGGUACAAGAUCUGGGGCAAACGCUCUGCUGGUCGAAAGCGGAUGCAGGAAGGUUUACAACUUUGCCUGCCAGAGCUUAUAUAUCUAGUUGCGCUUUCCCUACUCGGAUUGUGCAAUGGCGCAUGCUAGAUCCACGAAAGUGAUAUGAGGUAUGUAUAAAGAUUGCUAGGAAAGGUCUGACUCUUUCCACACUUUCCUAUGGUUUAACCGAGAGAUAGGAUGCCCUUCGGAGAUUGCAAAAGCGACCGGGCUGUGAGGUUGAGUUUUUGAGCUAUCACUUUCCUCACUCAGUCUUAAUCUAUGCGAAUAUAGAGUAAGGGCUUGGGGGUGAUGGGAAUAGGAUUGAGGUUCCUUUAGCUUAAAUUCCUUCGGGAAGGGGGGAAGAUAGUAAUGUGUACUGCCUGCAACUGUGGACCCAGGGAAGCUAGAGCGACACUAGGAGGAUUCUUUGAUCCCUACUAGCACACUAGAAUUCACGCGAGAGUCAGUACUCCUGGGGUUCGCCGUCGAUUUCUUGCUCAGAACCUCUCUGUGCGACGUAAUAAUUGCAUCCCAAAAGAUUCUCUUCAGAAAAGAGAACUAAGGCGAAAACCAGAAAAUCUCGGGAGGAGGGUCGGUUUGCCGGUUUGAGCAAUCCCCCAAGUUCGGCAAUUUCGGCAACGUGUUGGAUCGUUCAGAAUACAGGA
rnacentral:sRNA from 1 species